GCAUACAAAAAUGGAAAACAUGCCAUUUUAAAGCAGUGUUAGCUGUAGUCCAUGAUCAUGUUUUGGUAAGCUAAUAGUAAUUAACUUGUUAUAUUAAUUAGUAAGUAAUAGUAAUUCUCAUUAAAGUUUUAGAUGUUGGUCUAAACUUUGUCAUUUUUUUAUUUGCCUUUUAGGUUGCUGGUUCCAAAAUAAUCUGGAAGUUUGUAUGCAGAGUUCCAGAGGAUAACCAAUCAGAACCUGCCCAACCGAUUCUAUGCUGAGCUUGACCGCCAUCUUCCACGACUAAUGACUUUAUUUAGGCAGAAGGCAUCAAGAACUGGAAAGACAGCAGAUGCUCUGGCUGAAAUUUUACAAAUCCACGAUGAACAGGAAAACCAGGACAUACACACCAAACGUACGACUGUUCUCCACGGCCUCCCUGUCUAUCUGUGCGAGGAUGUAUCUGGAUUCUUCAGAACCUGCACAGACGAGUCUGAUGAGCCAGAGCUUGAUGGGGUUGCAGUGGGCCUCCUUACUGUCACCAGUGACAAUAACACAAGUGCAGUUCACUACCACCCUGUGAAAAUCUCUGUGAUUAUUGAAAGUGAUGUCAUGGUUAGUCUCCCCAGACUUGGCGAUGCCUUCCUGGUAGUCUUUGGAUUCAUGUAUGCACUACACCUCAGCUACCCCAAAGCACUUACCAAGA